rnacentral:misc_RNA from 1 species
ACACAGCCUUGGCUGCCGGAAAUGCGUCGGCGAGCGCCUUGCCCAUGCCGACCGCCUGCGAUCCCUGACCGGGAAAGGUGAAUGCUGCUGUCAUGAAAGUCCCCAAAAGUGAGCAGGCCGUAAGACACCGCCGGGGCCACGGGUGUCAAGCUGUGGUGCGGUGAACCCCAUGAACAACCAGACCCGGUCGGCCACCGGACGGCUCGCCCAGCGGCCCGGCAGGCCAUUGGCCGACGGAACCCUCUCCUUGGAUA